rnacentral:rRNA from 1 species
UACGAGUGGUGCAAGCGUUAUUCGGAUUAAUUGGGCGUAAAGGGUGCGCAGGCGGCGCAUUAAGUCAACUGUUAAAGACCUCAGCCUAACUGGGGAACAGCAGUAGAUACUGGUGUGCUAGAGGGUGGAAGAGAGAAGUGGAAUUCUUGGAGUAGCGGUAAAAUGCGUAGAUCUCAAGAGGAACACCGAUGGCGAAGGCAGCUUCUUGGUCCACAUCUGACGCUCAUGCACGAAAGCGCGGGGAGCAAACAGG